AGUAAGGACCCAUGAUAGAACAACUUAGCAAAAUGUUCUUUACUACUCAGCACCGUUGGUAUCCUCGUGGACAGAAUCAUACACAUCAAAAGACAGAUGAUAUUGAGGUUUCCAGUAAAAUGCUAUCCUGUUUCUCAUUUGAGAAAAUGUAAUCAGCUGGUGUGGCUGAGUGGUUGAGUAUCGACCCAUGUACCAGGAGGUCUCCAGUUUCAUUCCAGAUAACUUCUAGAGGCCUGGUGCACGAAAUUCUUGCACAGGUGCGGUUCCUAGACCUGACCAGCUAUCGAAGCUCAAAUAUCUGGCAUGGAAGGAAAGGUCCCACCUAACCUCUGGGCCCUGGACAGCACCUGGGCCCACAGGCUCCCGCACGACCCCUUCCACCUGAGUCGUGAUGCCCAAGUCCCCAUGCGGAGAUAC